GGGGCCGUCCCACCCCUGCCGCCUCCGUCCUCUCCGCCCAGGACGCGGUCCCGGCCCCGGCCCCGCCCGGGCCCCCCUGUCCGCUCUGCAGAGCUCCCCCUUAAAGGUGGCUUGCGACUUUCAAAGACGCGGCGAACUCCUCGAAAACAGCCGGGCAUUCGAGCUGUGCAGCGAACAGAGUCGUGUGCUCACCGAAUGGAAACGCACAGCUCCUUUCCAUCCCGGAAAACGCUUGCUGAAUCUCUCACGCUCCCCGCGACACUAUAUGGUCUCAGAAAGAUGGUGCGAUCGUGCUGCUGAAGCCCUUGGUGGACAUGGAGAAGAUUGUCCCAUGUUCCUGCUCUUUCUCCACCUGUCUCUUCUCACCCCAUCCUGCCUACUCCCCGCCUUGCCCCGCCCCCCCCCACGAAAGUGAGAGGUUAUAGCCCUACAUCCGGAGCUCCACGUGUGUUCUGUUACACAGCCCGCAGCGCAGCGCAGCUCUGACAGUCGAGGUAGAUGUGUAUAUUUAUUAUAAUGCAUUUUCAGCAAAUGGCAGUAAAGUGUCUUGAGAAAAGGG